GCCGCCGGGCCCGCGCCCCGGGCGGUACCGACACCUGCUGGGCAGAGCGCGGCCGCGAGGUCGCUGCGGAGCUGGGCGGCCUUAAUAUGGCUGCUGUUUGUGUGCGGCCGACUGGGUGUGUUCCAGGCGCGCUCCACACUACGUUGCAAGGUGGCUGCUGCCAUGGUCGUGUUGCAUCGGAGGAAACGGAAAUUCAGAGAAGUAAAGUAACUUGCCCAAGGUCACGCAGAACUGGGACGGAACCCAGAAACCAGACUCUAGGAUUCCAAGGCUCCUUUUUCCAUUACGCCAAUACAGCCUGUAUUUCAGGAAGGCCCUAAAUUGUUAAAAAACAAAACUAAGUAUUGCUGCGGUGUCAUUCCAAGCCCUUGUUCCCCGUUUGAGCCAAAUUUAAAGGUAAUUUGAUGUUUGAGUUUUCCCUGUCUCCUACUAAUGCUGCAGGCUGGAAGGAAUUCCAAUCAGACUUCAAAGUGAAGAUGCAAAAAGAAGGAAGAGACAAAUUAAUACCAAUCACCUGAGUAUAAUAAACAAGUGAAGAUGGUAUUUUUGUGUGUGCCUAGCAUAUGUGAGAUGCUGUUCUAGUCACUAGGGGUACAAUAGUGAAUAAAACAGAAAAAUAAUCCUCACUUGUAUGUAGCACACAGUGAGAAAGAAUGAAAAGGUAAAUAUAAUUAUGGCACGUUAGAACCUGAUAAUGCUAAGCAAGGAAACCAAGAGAUACCAGGAAAAGUUGGAGUAUAAGUCAAGGGUUGAAGUGCUGGAAAGACCAUAGCAGAAAAACAGUGUGCAGCGCACUCUUUUUUAAGUAUUUUUGACAGGAAGCUUCUGGCUAGGCUUUUACCUACUGUCUGACAUGACCUGUGGGCAUUUGGCUGCAGGUGAAGAAUUCCAAAUGGAGAAGACACUAUCAGUGCUUGCAGCUGUCUGCCAGAGAGAGCUACCUUCAUGUCCUGCCGGCACUUCGAACUCCAAAAGUUUAAAAUAGCUUUCACCCCAGCCUACUCUUUCAUUUCAAGUCUUUGCUAAUCAUGCAGUUGUCUGAGAUGGACACAUCAGAGUCGCCACUGG